UCCGUACGGGGAAGGAUGAGAAGCUUCGACUAAGGUUCGAUUCGAGCGCAGCGAGAAAGCGUUGCCGCAGGCAACGACCCGAAGGGCGAAGCGCGCAGCGCUGAGUCAUCCUUCCCCCACCACCA
rnacentral:sRNA from 1 species